UUAGAGAGAAUGCACCAAAGAUUUAAAUAAGUUCGAUCAACCACUUUGCAUACUCCUGUCCCCAAGAGAUUCCUAUUGAGAUUUCCAAUAACAAUUAGUCUUGAGAUUUUAAGGAUAUGUCCACGAACCUUUUAUAAUAAUGGGAGGUUUUAUAUAGGAUAAUCCUUAAACCAAAAAGAGUUUUUAACAUACUGAACUCACAAAAUAAAUAAAGAUUAUAACCGGUUGAUCUCAAGAACAAAAUAGUGAUUUUAAGAGGUUAAUAUCAAGAACCAAACAAG
rnacentral:lncRNA from 1 species